UACGUAGGGGGCAAGCGUUGUCCGGAUUUAUUGGGCGUAAAGAGCGUGUAGGCGGCCAAACAGGUCAGCUGUGAAAACUCGAGGCUCAACCUCGAGACGUCGGUUGAAACCGUUUGGCUAGAGUCCGGAAGAGGAGAGUGGAAUUCCCGGUGUAGCGGUGAAAUGCGCAGAUAUCGGGAAGAACACCCGUGGCGAAGGCGGCUCUCUGGGACGGUACUGACGCGUGAGACGCGAAAGCGUGGGGAGCGAACAGG
rnacentral:rRNA from 1 species